UUGUUGUUCUAACAAUAAUGCUAAUAGGUUUGCUCAUGCAUAGAUGCCAUUUAUCCUCGAUAGCAAUUGUUAUUGGGCUGAUAAGAAUAGCAUAUUUUGUGAAAGGAUUAAUUACGGUGGAAUAGAUUGCUAUUUUAGUACUUAUAGUGCUUAUGGGUAAAUUUAAUGUGAUUUGUGACUUCAAAUUAUCUCCAUACAUCAUGUAGCCUAAAAUGGCAAUAGUUC
rnacentral:lncRNA from 1 species